AGACCAAGGGUUCCUGUCCAACGUUAAUCGGGGCAGGGUGAGUCGACCCCUAAGGCGAGGCCGAAAGGCGUAGUCGAUGGGAAACGGGUUAAUAUUCCCGUACUUGGUGUUACUGCGAAGGGGGGACGGAGAAGGCUAUGUUGGCCGGGCGACGGUUGUCCCGGUUUAAGCGUGUAGGUGUGUGUUCCAGGUAAAUCCGGUUCACUUUAACACUGAGGCGUGACGACGAGGCACUACGGUGCUGAAGCAACAAAUGCCCUGCUUCCAGGAAAAGCCUCUAAGCAUCAGGUAACAUCAAAUCGUACCCCAAACCGACACAGGUGGUCAGGUAGAGAAUACCAAGGCGCUUGAGAGAACUCGGGUGAAGGAACUAGGCAAAAUGGUGCCGUAACUUCGGGAGAAGGCACGCUGACAC
rnacentral:rRNA from 1 species